rnacentral:lncRNA from 1 species
UAGCCUAGCUUCUUGGGGCUCUCGAUCUCGUCUUCGUCGGAGGAGAAGUCGUCGAAGGCGGCGGUGGGGUGGCGCGUGGAGAAGACGGACCAGACGAGGUACAUGGUGGCGGCGGUGAGGGCGCCGCAGCCGACACCGAAGAGGAGGGCGAGGGCGACGCUGAGGAUGUCCUUGGUGCGGUCGCGGAGGGAGGAGAAAUCGUACGCGGAGGCGAACCCUAGGGGAGCGCGUGGGUUCACGCGCUCGGGCUCAGGGAGGUGAGUCGCGUGGGGGAAGAAGAGGUCGUAGGAGGAGGAGGGUUUGCCGGUGGGUUUGUCGGUGAUGUAGAGAGGGGUGAAGGAUCGGAUCUCGGUGAUGGUGGCGAAGGUGUUGGAGUUAGGGUUGCGGAACGAGUAGGAGGAGAUUAUGAAGGUCCUGCAGGGACGCGCCGUCGCGGUGGAGGCGGAGAGGGCCACGAGGAGCACGGCGGCGACAGCGAUCGCGAGACGAGCCAUGAUGAGGGACGACGAGAAAUUGAAAUUGGAAGAGAUAUUUUGUGU